rnacentral:misc_RNA from 1 species
ACUCGAACCUCUGAAUUUUGUGCGUUCGCUCCUCUCUCGAUGUACGCAUGACACGCUUUUGCCUCGUCGCCGCUGUGCUGAUAUGGCUCUCUUCACGCGCUCUGCUUCACGCCUUUGCCACAACACACACACACACACACACACACUAACGCUAUGGCAGUCAAGCAAGCGCACUCCUACGCGAGCUUCUUUUUGUCUCGAUCCCGCUUUAUCUCAGCGCUUCCAUUUACUUCUGCGUGUAUCUUUUUUUUUCCGCCCUCCCCCUCGCCCUCCACAUCGCCCCCCACCCCCCCACUUCUCUUUUUCCGUUGGCCACUUGCCCAUGUUAGCUCUCUUUUUCUUUGCUUGAAUAUGUAUGUAUGUUUGUGUGUCUGCUGCCUCUUCUAUUUCGCCGCGUCUCUGUCUGAGUCUCUGUGUGCCCGUCAUGCGCGCGCUCUCGCGCUUUCUCUUAUGCGCGACAAGUUACGUACUCGUGCAAGUACACGCACACACACGUGCCACCGAUCCGCGUGUGCGUGUGUGUUGAUGGGGUUGGCUUUACUUUUCUCUGUGAUCAAGGGCAGCUCCCUGGAUGCGUUUGCCCGCUUGCGUGCGGGCCUGCAUCGCUUCCGCGUGGGCAUUGGACCCCCAUCGUAGCAAGCAAUCCCGCACGCACAAAGAAGCAACAAAAAGUGAAGGCAGCAGCACAGGCGCUCGCCUCAUGAAACCUCCCUCUACACACGCAAGCACACGCGCAAAGACGUGCCGGCCAACAAGACUAGUGGAGCCCUCAACUUGUGCGCACGAUGGAAUGCGUACCCGCGGCUCAAGCGUGCGACAUAAACUGACUAGUGCGAGAGAGAGAGAGAGGCUGGCCGGAGAGGUAUCACUGCUGCUGUGCGCUGCAGAAGUCGUUCGCGUGUGUGGCUCUCUCUCUUUUCCUCCUCUUGUCCCCUCAGUUCAUCCUGCUCUCCCUUCCGCAUGCAGACUUCUCGCGCUUCACCUUCCACAUCAACUUCUCUUGCGCGUCUUCUCCGCCUCCGUCUUCCUGAUCAUACGCACUUCUUUUUGUUGUGUCCUUUGAGGUCUCUCUCCCUUUCCCCCUCCCUCUCCAG